rnacentral:rRNA from 1 species
GAUGAACGCUGGCGGCGUGCUUAACACAUGCAAGUCGAACGGUGAAGGCGGAGCUUGCUCUGCUGGAUCAGUGGCGAACGGGUGAGUAACACGUGAGCAAUCUGCCCCUGACUCUGGGAUAAGCGCUGGAAACGGCGUCUAAUACUGGAUACGAGCUGCGAAGGCAUCUUCAGCAGCUGGAAAGAACUUCGGUCAGGGAUGAGCUCGCGGCCUAUCAGCUUGUUGGUGAGGUAACGGCUCACCAAGGCGUCGACGGGUAUCCGGCCUGAGAGGGUGACCGGCCACACGGGGACUGAGACACGGCCCAGACUCCUACGGGAGGCAGCAGUGGGGAAUAUUGCACAAUGGGCGAAAGCCUGAUGCAGCAACGCCGCGUGAGGGACGACGGCCUUCGGGUGGUAAACCUCUUUUAGCAGGGAAGAAGCGAAAGUGACGGUACCUGCAGAAAAAGCGCCGGCUAACUACGUG